AACGUAGGAGGCAAGCGUUAUCCGGAUUCACUGGGCGUAAAGCGCGUGCAGGCGGUUUGGUAAGUUGGGCGUGAAAUCUCCCGGCUCAACUGGGAGGGGUCGUCCAAAACUACCAGACUCGAGAGCGAUAGAGGAAAAUGGAAUUCCCGGUGUAGUGGUGAAAUGCGUAGAUAUCGGGAGGAACACCAGUGGCGAAAGCGAUUUUCUGGAUCGUUUCUGACGCUCAGACGCGAAAGCUAGGGUAGCAAACGGGAUUAGAGACCCCGGUAGUCCUAGCUGUAAACGAUGUGAACUUGGCGUUGGUGGCUUAAACUCCAUCAGUGCCGCAGCUAACGCGAUAAGUUCACCGCCUGGGGACUACGGCCGCAAGGUUAAA
rnacentral:rRNA from 1 species